rnacentral:rRNA from 3 species
GAAUGACUCUCGGCAACGGAUAUCUCGGCUCCUGCAUCGAUGAAGAACGUAGCGAAAUGCGAUACUUGGUGUGAAUUGCAGAAUCCCGUGAACCAUCGAGUCUUUGAACGCAAGUUGCGCCCGAAGCCAUUAGGCCGAGGGCACGCCUGCCUGGGUGUCGCA